ACUCUAUAAAUACCCAUUAUAUUUUUAUUAUAUACAAGUUUUCAUAUUUAUUUCAACGAAAUUUUUUUCUUCACAAAGCCAUAUUUGCUUUAUUUUAUUCUUAGAUUAUAGAUUGAAUCUUAUUUAUUUUAAGAUCUUGGAUUAGAUUUUAUUUAGUUUCAAAGAUUUGAUCAUGUAUUGAUCCUUUUCCGCACUACACGUUGCAUUAUCAAACUGAAAUUGAAGAAGAGCAUAAUUCCUAUCCUAUUAGGAAUUUUAAUUUUUUUUAGGCUUUUAAUUUAAUUUCUAUAUUAUUUAUAUUAUAAUCCAGUUGAAUUAUUUAUUUCAGUAGCAUUUUUGACCUUAUUGGGAUUUUUAUCGGUAAGAUUAAUUGUUCUUAGUAUUUAAUUAAUUAAUGUAAUAAAAACACAUUUAGUCCAAUAAGCAAAUCUAUGCACAAUCUAUGGAGUAAGAUGGACCCAGGCUGAUUUGGUAUAACUCAGAGCCUAGGGGGAUAGAGUGAUUAUUGCCUAAUAUCUUUGUGAGUUUUAGCUGUUUGGUUAGUGCAUUCCUGAGUCCUUUUGAGGUUGCUGGUCAUAAGCCCUAGUGGUUUGGCUGUAAAUCCAGAUAUCCUACUGUAGGGAAUGUAUUAAUUAGACU
rnacentral:misc_RNA from 1 species